AAACUUUUAAAAGAAAUUUAAAACUUUCAAAAGAACUAUAAAAGAAGAGUUAAUGCUUUUAAAAAUUAGGGCAACACUCAGGCACGUGGGUUUUAUUUGGUAAGUUAGAACAGAACAAAAAUAAAUGUUUUGAUACCACUUUUGGUGGAAAUAAAAUACAUUUUGUUGUCCAAUUGUUAUUCUCAUAUUUAAUAAUGAGAAGUAUAAGUAAUAAAUAUAGAUAGUAUUUAGUAAUAUAUAUAGUAAAUAUAAGUAUAUUUAAUAAUGGGAAGUGUAUCAGGUAAGCACAGCAGGAUUAAAAUAAUUCCCUGAUGAGGAGAGGCCUUCAGGAAACGGCUAGGAUUUAUUGUCUGUGAGGGUGCUGUCAGCAUAAAUAAUUAUCAUGAACUUCAAGCAAUCAAACCUCAUCUUUAUUGAAGGAGCGCCAUUAAAUGCUCAGAUUGUUCUUCAUUUGAUCAAGUGCAGUCAGCCCCUGAGGGAAGGAGAGGCUGCAGAAAUCAAUAGGGCACGGCUGAGGAAGCCAUGGUCGUGUCUGCCAGGGGAAGUGGAGCACCUGAGGAGGGAGGUUGUGUCACCCUGCUGGCAUACAAAAUGCUCAGGAGCCCUUGAAUGGCUUGAAGCAGACAAGGAGUUUAAAUGACAACUGGGCUGGGGGAAAUCAGGCUCGAAACUCUUCCUUCUAGAGCUGCUGUUUCACUCUCUUGGGUUUCCCUGCUCCCCAGCCAGCCUGGUGGUGGCAUCUGCUGUGCCAUGAGGAUGCUGGUCCAGCACUCCCCAGUGCAGCUGGGUGCUCGCUGCUGCCCCAGCUCUGCCCUCCUCUGUCCCCAGAGACACCCAGAGAGUGAGCCAGGCUUCAGAGCACCUUCUCUUCCCUCUCUGCUUCCAGCUGGUUUUUGUGUCUCCACAUCUUCAGAGGAGAGAAUGAAAUGCUGGACAUUAAAGGGGAAAGAUCCUCGAUUUGUGUGCAAAGCCAGGGGCUGCUGACCUGGACAAGGGUUUCAGGCCUGGAAAAAACACCAUGGUGCCUGCCUGCCCUGGCCUCAGACCACAAGAAAUGCAUCCCUGGACUCUUGUUCUGCCUCUCAUCCAAAGUAAAAUUCCCUAAGCUGGGGAAGGAUGCAAGGGGAGCAGCUUUCUUAUUGCUGCUACAUCUGCCUGCAAAGCUGCCUCUGGGGAACACAGAGUCAGCACCAUGGAAAACAAGAAGGGAGGAGAUUUCUAAGCCAGCACACUCCUGGCCUCUGUGCAGGGCAGCUCAGCAACAUCGACUCAUCAACUUCAAAUCAUCAGUGGGAAAGCUGGGUCCACCCUGAGACAGCUGAUGAGAUACCUUGAGACACAGCUGAGGGCAUGGAUAAAGAAGAGAGGUUCUGGACCAAGCUCCACAGUGUCUUCACCUCUGCUCCAUCACCCUUUGAGCUAAACAAAGAGGCAUUUUUAUCUGGCUCUAACUGCACCUGAGCUGCUGUCCUCCUGUGGUAUGAAAAGAAGAGCUGAAUUCUGCCUGACAAUAUUAUUUUCACACAUUGGAGAUUGUGGGUGGGAACUUCCACUGAACUUGGCACGAGCUUUGCCCAAGCUGAAAACAAAAAGCCAACUCCCAUGUGCGGCUGAGAGAACUGAUCUUGGAGCUGGUGAGGGUUAUUUUAUUCUUGUGCCAUUACCUGUCACCACAGGGCUGCUCUGGUCUGAAAUAACCACCCAGGGCAAGGUGAAUGGUUGUAUUCCAUGCUCUGGUUAUUCCCAUGCCUGGAAAGCCAAAAUCCCAGCUCAGAGCUGCAGUGGAUGGGGAUAGGUCCAAGCUUCUCUGUCCAUCACAUUUCCUCCCCUGUGUGUGACACUCACAGGGGAUACCUGGAGCCAGGCCUGGAGGGACACCUGGAGCCAGGCCACGCUGCACAGGUGUGAAAAGGCCACCCGUGGGGCUGAGCACAGCACAGCUGGAGCACUGGCAGGCUUCCCCAAGAGCAUUAGCUCUCACUCACUAGCUCUCAGGCCCUGCAGCUGUACACAGUUGUGUCUGGGUAUCUGAUUUUUAAACCUUUUUUUAUAGUGCUGUAGUUGCUCCUGAUCAAGCUGACUGCAGACAAGAGCCCAGCACGUGCUGAACUCAGAGGCCGACGCUGGGGUCACCAUCCUCUUCCAUGUGUGCAUGUGUCUGUCCCACCACAGGAGCAGAAAAUGAAGAGUAUACAACCUCCCAAAGCCCAGCCUUUUGCUCUCCUUUGGGCAGAAUGUUUGACCAUAUUGAUUCCAUUUGCAUUAAAAAUGCUUCUCUGGAAAUGAAAGACUUGCAUCUGUCUUAUUAUUUCAGAUCUGAGCUGGCAACUGAGUUAAUAUUAAAAUGACACAUAGACACAAAUCACAUUUUCUGUGUUACAAAUAACAGGAGCAAAGCGAAUAUGCCAACAUUAAUAAUUUACCUUUUGAGCUUAUCCCUUCUUUAUUUUUCUGAAACCUCCACAAGCAGAUUGCCAUUUCCUCCAGUUUAUUCAUUAUUCAAAUUCAGCCAACAGUUUAAAAGAACAUGUUUACCUAACAGAUAGCUUGCAUUUUGCUUCCAUUUUCACUGCUCAGUAUUUGUAACAAAGUGUGAGUCACAAUUGUGUAAUUAAAUCAUAUAAUACAAUUCCUGUUCCUCAGCUAAAUCAAAAUGCAAUACUUCUGGGGGAAAAGUACUGCCAAUGUGUCUAUAAAAAAUCAAAUUUCUACAAACAGCUUUGUCUAUGCCUGAAUUUCAUCUACAUUCAUUCUGGCUAACAACUCAGCUGCUGGGAUGUUUAGCAAAUAAUCACGAAAACAGGCAGAGCAGCUUUAUGUCCUGCCUUCCUUCUCUGCAAAGGACGAAGGAAAAUACAUUUGCUUUCCUUGAGCCAUCUUUAGCUUCUUCUGCCACCGAGUCACUGCUUUCCCCCGGUCCUGCAGGUGACAUUAAGAACAAAAAAAGGCCACUGACAGCAGCUGCCUUUUAGUUGCCUUUUAUUCACUUCCCAGCAGCAGCCUUUGGGGUUUUGCAGAUCCACGGGGAAAGUGAAAACCAAUAGUAAACUAAAGAAACAUCAGGAGAAGAACAAUAAAUCUUUCACAGUUCCUCUCAAUCCUUGUUUAGUUUUUAUUUUACUCACCUAAGGAAAACAAUUUUUUCCCUCCUGUUUUAGUUAUUUUUUGUUAAUUUCAAACAGCAUUCCUCAUUUAUUUCAGGGCUAACCAGACAUGGAACCUGCAUAUACAGAAACUUAAAAAUGCACCUAGCAGACCUUUUGCAGAUGUGAUUUUUAGCUAAGCUCCUGGCUGUCCUGGUAGGAUGCCAUUAAUUCCUGUCCAUGAGCACUGGAAAGGCAGCAUCCCACCAGACCAGGCUGCUCAGAGCCCCAUCCAGCCUGGCCUUGGACACCUCCAGGAGUGGGACAGCCACAAGGUCUCUGUGCCAGGGUCUCACCACCCUCACACAAAAAGAAAUCAUAACAGUUAUAUAUGAUUUAAACAUGUGAGACUCUCUAAUUGUCUCUGAUUUCUGCCAAGCUGGGCUGAGAUGCUGCUGAAUGAAUGUAAAAUUUAACACCAGUUUGCACGUGUACAGCUCUUGGAAAAAAGCAAAGCUUUUACAAAAAAAAAAAAAAAAAAAAAAAAAAAAAAAGGAGAUGCAGGGGAUCUCUUCUUGUAAAUCCAUUCUGACUCCAAAUGGCAGCACUCUCUGCAUUUUUGGAGGAGACAGAAUAGAUUUAGAAAGUGGCUGCUCAUCGAUUUAUUGUCUUUAUGCUGGACAUAGUUUUUUAUUAAAGAAAGCAGAUACUCAAUAAUGUUAACUAGUAAUGGGAAUUGACUUUUCACUAAUUGCACAGAACCUGACAUUAAUACACUUUAAUAGAAAAUAGGCUUGUGCACUCCAGAUCAAUCCAAAACUUUUUUCUGAGUACGCAGCAGACAAAGGGCUCCAACAACAACACAGCAAAGUAAGACAUUGCAUUUGUUCACUUAUUAUUCCUUAAUUUAUUGGGAUAGGGAAAUACCUCCAGGGAAUGAGGGAAAUGCUGUACCUCAGCUGCUUUUCCACUCUCUGUUUGCUCCACAGGGCUCAGUAUUUCCUGGUCUGCUGUUCUGCCCCAUUUGCCUAGUUUGUAAACAGGAGCAUUUUUGUCUGCCUCAGGUACUGUGGAGUGCAGGCAAAAUAAAUGUGUUGGAUGUAUGACAUGAGAAAUAAAACAAUUUAUCACUUAA